rnacentral:rRNA from 1 species
UACGAAGGGGGCUAGCGUUGUUCGGAAUUACUGGGCGUAAAGCGCGCGUGGGCGGUGAUCUUUGUCAGAGGUGAAAGCCCGGGGCUCAACUCCGGAAUUGCCUUUGAAACGGGAUCGCUAGAGUCCGAGAGAGGAUGGCGGAAUUCCUAGUGUAGAGGUGAAAUUCGUAGAUAUUAGGAAGAACACCGGUGGCGAAGGCGGCCAUCUGGCUCGGUACUGACGCUCAGGCGCGAAAGCGUGGGGAGCAAACAGG